rnacentral:miRNA from 1 species
UGGUCUGCAAAGAGAUGACUGU